rnacentral:misc_RNA from 1 species
GAUGAAGAACGCAGCGAAAUGCGAUAAGUAGUGUGAAUUGCAGAAUUCAGUGAAUCAUCGAAUCUUUGAACGCACAUUGCGCCCUUUGGUAUUCCUUAGGGCAUGCCUGUUCGAGCGUCAUUUGAAACCUCAAGCUCAGCUUGGUGUUGGGUGUCUGUCCCCGCCUCACCGCGGGGACUCGCCUCAAAAUCAUUGGCGGCCGGUACGUUGGCUUCGAGCGCAGCAGAAACGCGAACUCGAGGCCCGGCGGAUCGGCGACCAGAAGUCACUUCUUCACAGUUGACCUCGGAUCAGGUAGGGAUACCCGCUGAACUUAAGCAUAUCAAUAAGCGGAGGA